rnacentral:rRNA from 1 species
AUUGAACGCUGGCGGCAUGCUUUACACAUGCAAGUCGAACGGUAACAGGCCGCCAGGUGCUGACGAGUGGCGAACGGGUGAGUAAUGCAUCGGAACGUGCCCAGUCGUGGGGGAUAACUACUCGAAAGAGUAGCUAAUACCGCAUACGAUCUAUGGAUGAAAGCGGGGGACCGUAAGGCCUCGCGCGAUUGGAGCGGCCGAUGUCAGAUUAGGUAGUUGGUGGGGUACAGGCUCACCAAGCCAACGAUCUGUAGCUGUGCUGCAAGGACGACCAGCCACACUGGGACUGAGACACGGCCCAGACUCCUACGGGAGGCAGCAGUGGGGAAUUUUGGACAAUGGGCGCAAGCCUGAUCCAGCAAUGACGCGUGCAGGAAGAAGGCCUUCGGGUUGUAAACUGCUUUUGUACGGAAAGAAACGGCUCUGGUUAAUACCCGGGGCUAAUGACGGUACCGUAAGAAUAAGCACCGGCUAACUACGUG